rnacentral:rRNA from 1 species
AGAGGGUGAGAAUCCCGUGCGAUGAGAUGAUCCAGGCCUAUGUAAAGUUCCUUCGAAGAGUCGAGUUGUUUGGGAAUGCAGCUCUAAGUGGGUGGUAAAUUCCAUCUAAAGCUAAAUAUUGGCGAGAGACCGAUAGCGAACAAGUACAGUGAUGGAAAGAUGAAAAGAACUUUGAAAAGAGAGUGAAAAAGUACGUGAAAUUGUUGAAAGGGAAGGGCUUGAGAUCAGACUUGGUAUUUUGUAUGUUACUUCUUCGGGGGUGGCCUCUACAGUUUAUCGGGCCAGCAUCAGUUUGGGCGGUAGGAGAAUUGCGUUGGAAUGUGGCACGGCUUCGGUUGUGUGUUAUAGCCUUCGUCGAUACUGCCAGCCUAGACUGAGGACUGCGGUUUAUACCUAGGAUGUUGGCAUAAUGAUCUUAAGUCGCCCGUCUUGAAACACGGACCAAGGAGUCUAACGUCUAUGCGAGUGUUUGGGUGUAAAACCCGUACGCGUAAUGAAAGUGAACGUAGGUGGGGGCCCGUAUGGGUGCACCAUCGACCGAUCCUGAUGUCUUCGGAUGGAUUUGAGUAAGAGCAUAGCUGUUGGGACCCGAAAGAUGGUGAACUAUGCCUGAAUAGGGUGAAGCCCAUAACUCUGGUGGAGGCUCGUAGCAAGUUCUGACGUGCAAAUCGAUCGU